CACGUAGGGCGCAAGCGUUGUCCGGAAUUAUUGGGCGUAAAGCGUGCGCAGGCGGUUUUGUAAGCCAGAUGUGAAAUCCCCGGGCUUAACCUGGGAAUGGCAUUUGGGACUGCAAGGCUUGAGUGCGGCAGAGGAGACUGGAAUUCCUGGUGUAGCAGUGAAAUGCGUAGAUAUCAGGAGGAACACCGGUGGCGAAGGCGGGUCUCUGGGCCGAUACUGACGCUGAGGAGCGAAAGCGUGGGGAGCGAACAGG
rnacentral:rRNA from 1 species